CAAUAGCGUAUAUUAAAGUUGUUGCAGUUAAAAAGCUCGUAGUUGGAUUUGUGGCGUACGGUGGGUUCCGGGCACUUGUUGUCUGAGUAACUUGCUGUUGCCAUCCUUGGGUGGAACCUGUGUGGCAUUAGGUUGUCGUGCAGGGGAUGCCCAUCAUUUACUGUGAAAAAAUUAGAGUGUUCAAAGCAGGCUUAUGCCGUUGAAUAUAUUAGCAUGGAAUAAUGAGGUAGGACUUUUUUGCUAUUUUGUUGGUUUGCGCAAAGAGGUAAUGAUUAAUAGGGACAGUUGGGGGUAUUCGUAUUCCAUUGUCAGAGGUGAAAUUCUUGGAUUUUUGGAAGACGAACUACUGCGAAAGCAUUUACCAAGGAUGUUUUCAUUAA
rnacentral:rRNA from 1 species